rnacentral:rRNA from 1 species
UGGGGAAUUUUGCACAAUGGGAGAAACCCUGAUGCAGCGACGCCGCGUGAUUUAGAAGGCCUUCGGGUUGUAAAAAUCUUUUCUAUGGGAAGAAAAUGACAGUACCAUAGGAAUAAGGACCGGCUAAUUACGUGCCAGCAGCCGCGGUAAUACGUAAGGUCCGAGCGUUGUCCGGAAUCAUUGGGCGUAAAGGGUACGUAGGCGGGUAAGCAAGUUAGAAGUGAAAUCCUGUAGCUCAACUACAGUAAGCUUUUAAAACUGCUCAUCUUGAGAUAUGGAAGGGAAAGUGGAAUUCCUAGUGUAGCGGUGAAAUGCGCAGAUAUUAGGAGGAAUACCGGUGGCGAAGGCGACUUUCUGGCCAUAAUCUGACGCUGAGGUACGAAAGCGUGGGUAGCAAACAGG